AGCAUUUACAAUUAUCUUAACAUAAAUGCUUAAAGAUAAUCACUGGAUGUGAAAAAUAAGUCCUCUUUUGCAACCCAGAACUCAUUGUCAGUAUGAGUUUUGAUACAUACGAGAUGGAACAUG